rnacentral:lncRNA from 1 species
AGACAAAAUAAAAGAGAACAAAAUACCUUGAAAGAACAGACUACAUAAGAAGAGUUCAAAAACUUUUAAAAAAUCAAUAUAUUUGGAGAGAAAAAAAAAACAGGAAAUAAAACAUGAUGUUAUAAGUAGGAAUAUAAGGGUAAUAUUUUUUAAAUACUUGAAAAUAAAAUUAUUUUAUUAUACACUCCUACUUCAGGGCAUGACAUCAUGAAAUUUCAAAAAAUUGGUAUUUAAAUAUUGUGUAAACUUGGAAAAAAAUCACCUGAGCCCCAUACAAAGAUCAGAAAUCAGAAUGGUGUUUCGUUUUUGCAUAGCAAUCUUGCAAAUAGAAGAAAUGUAAUCAUUAAAUCCAGGGAAAGUAAAUGAGUUGGGCAAGAAGAAAAGGCCAUCACUGCUAACUUUAUGCUGGAUUUGAACUGUAUUUAAAUAUCACAGUAUUAAAAAUAAUGAAUACUGAUCUACCAAAAUUAAAAUGUAACUAUUAAGUUGAGACACAUGAAAUUCUUGUUUGGGGGGCUGGGGUUGUAGCUCAGUGGUAGGGUGCUUGCCUAGCACAUGUGUGUGAGGCACUGGGUUCAGCACAACAUAAAAAUAUAUGAAUAAAAUAAAGGAACUGUGCCCAUCCACAACUGAAAAUAUAUUUAAAAGAAAACAAAAAGAAAUUCUUGUUUUUGUAUAUUAGGGAAUGGAAGAGUGUGUGUGUGUGUGUGUGUGUGUGUGUGUGUCAAAAAAGAAGUGCAUGGGGGUUUGGGAUUGUGGCUCAGUGGUACAGCGCUUGCUUAGCAUGUGUGAGGCACUGGGUUCAAUCCUCAGCACCACAUAAAAAAUAAAUAAAAUAAAUGUACUGGGUCAAUCUACAACUAAAAAUUUUUUUUUUAAAUAAAAAAAGAGCAUGCUAAGAAAAUUCUUAAAACUAAAAAUUCAAGAAGCAGCCAGGGACAUAGCUCAGUGAGAGCUUUUGCCUAGCAUGUGUUAGGCCUUGGGUUCAAUUCACAGUACAACAAUCAAUAUUUUUUAAAAAAAAUCAGGAAACAGUAAAAUAAGUAUUGUUACUUUUAAAUACAUGGAAAUAAAUAUCAAUAUACUAGGCUAAAGAGGUAAAUAAAAAGGAGUGGUUUAUGGGAAAAGGAAAAAAUUCUGUUUUUUCUAAAAAAAGAUAGUAAAUCUGCUCAAUUAUUUGACUCUUUUAUACUACUAUAUAUAUUAUGUAAGACCUAUAGUAAACACUAGAUGAUAUAUACAUUAAAUUAGAAAAGAAGAAGAAGAGGAAGAAGAAUGGAGGAGGAGAAAAGACAAGGUUCAGGGCAGAGAGUCAGAUAUAUACCACAGGUAUUUUAAUGUCUCAGGAGGGUACUUUCUGGAUAUAAGAAAACUUUCUCUGUCAUAUUAUUGUUAGAGACAGGCGUUCUCCAACAGUGCUCUUCCACAAAUGAGAUAACAACAAAACCUGAGUGAGUUUCAUUGUUCAACAUUUUCUCUUUUAAGUUAGAUAUGGAGAAUAAGACCUCAGUUCUCUUAACUUGUUCUUUGGUUAACAUAAUAUAAACAUCCUUUUCUGAAUAAUGUUUACUUUUUCAAACUGGUAACAACAUUAAUAAUUCCAGAGGCUUUUAAAACUUUAUUUUAUAGAGAUUCAUUUUUAAUGAUUAAAUUUUUUUUAAAAGGUAAGAAAUAUAAGAUACGAACGAAUAGAGUGAAACAUAAAAAUGUUUCUGUAAAACAAAACCACAUAUAGUCUAACCUAAGAAACUUGGAACAGGAAGGAUAGGAAGGAUGGAUGUGUAUAUAUGAUAGCAAUAAGAAAAGAAUGUACUAAGAUUAAAACUAUACAGUUCUAAAAAUUGGUUAUUUCAGAUACUUCACCCUAAAACUCAAAAGACUUGUUUUUGGUAGUGCUGGGGAUUGAACCCAGACUUCUCUAGCAUUAGCCCUCCCUACCCCACACCCAAUCCAACUCUGAAUCUUGAAAAGAAUAUAACCUUGAAUCCUUCUGCAUAUCAUUUAUGAAAUGAUACCACUCUCACUAUACUUAUUUAUAAUUGUAGAAAUAAUAUCUAUUAAAGAUUCUCCUACACACUAAGAAUUUACAGGCAAAUCUCAAAUAUCAAGAUAAUGACAUGACAGACAAUCUUUCUUAUGUUCUCAUCAGUCUUUGGAAGAAAUGAUAGGCCAACAGGUUUAUAAUCCAAAUGCAGAACUAUUAAUUGACAUGAACAGCAUUUAUUUUGUCAGUAUCUUUCCAAAACAAGCCAAAUGCCCUGAGCGUGAAUAAAACAUGUAGUAAAAAUCUGACAAUGAAUUCUUUUCCAACUUUUUAAAAGGGAUGAGUCACUCCAGACCUUUAAUAUAAUUUUAUUUUCUUUAAACAGUAUUUAGCAUGCCAAGACUUUCUAAACCACUACAAAGGCAAAAUCCCUGACUAUAAGGUAUAUGCAUGCUUUCCUUUAUUAAGUGCUACUGUGAACCAAUUAAGUAAGUAUUAUUCCUGACCUUGCAGUAUGAAAGAAAUAAGAAGAUGUAAUAAACAAUGGGGAGAGGAGAGGAGAAAACCCUUCUUAGUGGGAUUAAGUCAGAAAUUUGGAACAGGAAGGAUAGGAAGGAUGUAUGUAUUUCUCUAGGAAAUAAGAGAGGCUCUUUCAGAAGAGAGAUUAUAAUCUGAGUAGUCUUUGUAGCUCUCUCUACAUCCUAGCAAAGAAACUAGCAAUACCCAGACUAUGCCUAAAGACUGAACUAUGCCAAUCUUAGCACCCAAAGAAGCAAGAAAGUCCAAAUAAUCUUUGGAUUUAGCUAUUCUGGAUGCUGCACACAAUAAAGGUCACAACCUCCCCUCUGAGGACAGCAGCUCCUCACCUGUUGUUGUACUGGUACCUGCUGUACCACUUGCGUAGGCACUGCUGCUUGACUAGCCACAGAUGUCUGUAAAGUCACUCACUGUCAAACCUGUGUCUGACCCAGUCUCUGAUGUCUGCAUGAUGGUCUCUGAAAUACAUGAAAAUAGAAGUAAAAUUUAAAAUGUUCACCUUGCAUGCUGAGCUUCAUUUCAUUUGUUCUUAAUAUCCUAUUGGGAGACUUAGAACUCUCAAAAUACCUCCCAACCCAAUAUACUGCCAUGACAACUCAUGCAUGUUUAUAGUUUUUCUGACCACUUUUUAACUAAAUGCAGAAAAUUACUAAUCCACAUUUUCAUUGAAAAAAAUCCUUACUACCUCUUAACCUGAGAUAAUAAACACUGAACAUCAUUGAAAGCUACCAUGCUAGACUUUGUUAUAAAUUAUUUCAAUCUCUUUUUUAUUUAUAUAUGACAGCAGAAUGCAUUACAAUUCUUAUUACACAUAUAGAGCACAAUUUUUCAUAUUUCUGGUUGUAUACAAAGUAUAUUCACACCAUACAUCAUGUAGUUUGUAUAAUAAUUUCCAUCACAUUCUACCAUCAUUUCUAAACCCAAGCCCUCUCCCUUCCCCUCCAACCCCUUUGCCCUAUCUAGAAUUCAUCUAUUCCUCCCAUGCUCCCUCUCCCUAUCCCACUAUGUAUCAACCACCUUAUAUCAAAGAAAACAUUCGGCAUUUGGUUUUUUGGGGAUUGGCUAACUUCACUUAGCAUUAUCUUCUCUACAUUUACCUUCAAAUGCCAUGAUUUUAUUCUCUUUUAUUGCUGAGUAAUAUUCUGUUUUUUAUAUAUAUAACAGAAUAUUACUCAGCAAUAAAAGAGAAUAUAUAUAUAUAUAUAUAUAACAGAUAUAUAUAUGCACCACAUUUUUAAUCCAUUCAUCUAUUGAAGGGCAUCUAGGUUGGUUCCACAGAUUCAAAAUUAUUUCAAAAUUCUCUUAACUCUCAGAACACAAGACCUAACUGGUUAUAAAAUAUGUCACAAACUAUACUUUCUAAACACUUUCCUAGGUUAUGUAUGUAGAAUAAGUAAUUUCCAAAGUCCUUUCCAACUUAAAAACUUACAAUUUGGUAAUCUAAAAAAAGUUUACAUCCAAAAUCAACUGAUAUACACAAAACUAGCCAAAGGAUCAAGUUCACUAAUUUUCUCAGGCUUCCUAGCCUUGACACGUCACCCUUUUCACUACUUACACAUUCAAUAAAAUAAACACAAAUUUCCUUACUACUGAGCAGGGACCAAAAUUCUAAUUUUCUUUCCUGUGGUGGGAGGGACAGUAUUUAAUUGGUAGCCUAAGAACAUUGUAUCAUAACUUAAAUCUAUAAAAAGUAGAGUGAGCAUUAAUUUUCCCUAAAAAAAUGUUUUUAAAAAAUCUGAGUAUUUAGUUCUCUCAAGGAGAAAAUUAACCCCUCUUUUGUCACAGCGUGACCUCUUCCAAUUCUUUUUCCCCAAACCUUCUAUCAUCUCAUUAAAUUUUAUAAAUAAACCUCUGAGGACAUCAAAUAUACUUUGCUUAUUUUAUAAAAGAAGAAACUAACACAGAGAGAAAUUAAGAGAUUCAGUGGUGACAGAAGAUGACUUGUGACUGGGUUUUCACAUUUUGUACAUUCCAAAAGUAUAGCAAUAAUAGCUACCACUGUUUAACAAGUGCUAAGGACCCUUCUAAAUGCUUUACAUAUUAACUCAUAAACAAAACUCAUAUAACAACACAGUAUAGUUAAUAUGAGUAUAAUUUCCAUUUACAAUCUAGAAACCUCAGGUAUAUAGAGUACAGGAGAAUAGAGGUUACAAAAUUGAACAAUAGUGAUGAAAACUGUGGCUAAUACUCCAUGUAUAUGAUUCAGCUCACUUUAACCUCCAGGAUAUGGUUGUUUUGUGGGAAGGCAAAUCUGUAGAUAAUAGAUCUAUUUUUCUAAAAGAAGCUGAAAAAUCCAUAUUUUUAAAUAUGAAAUCUUACAAAUUGUGGCUGUUUAAAAAUGUGGUAAACACACAAACACACAUACACACAAACACACACACACACACACACACACCCCUUUGGACUAGUAUUAAGGCCAUGGAUAUGUUGAAAAAUCCAUAAGAAUGGCAGUAUUCACUAUACAAAACCCUUACCUAAUUGUAAUUACUAGAGGGCCAAUGACUCCCAAAACUUUCAGAGAGAAUACACAAAUUAGGAAGCCUAUCUAUUCCUGCUUCUUCUUUCUUCCAUGAUAGACUGGUGGGAAUAGGGGAUCAACCCCCCCCCCCCCAAAAGAAAAAAAAGCCAAAACCAGCGUUGAUUCAUUAUAUACUUGUAGACUACUGAUAGCAUUUGUGCUACAACAGAGGAUCAAUUAGGGAGAUUAAGGAAAUAUUUUCUUCAAGGACUGAACCAUGUAUUUAGAUACCAUCUUCUAAGAAGUUUUUGCCAGUCUCUCUUGCCAACUCCAAGAUGGAUGGUGGUCUUUGGCAGUUUAUUAUACAGAGAAAGAAGACAGAUUGACCAAAGUUAUUAUAAUUUGCUCACGCAAUUGUAGGUGAGUUUCUUACAGCAUAGCCAUUUUACUCUCAUAUUCUCUCAUGUUUCUUCCAGAAUCAGCUGGGAAAUUUGCUAUGACUAGCUCUUGGGCUCAUCCACUGUAUUGCAGACUGGUCUACAUAUCCUUUUUCGGUAUAUGACCCAUAUUUUGACAGCUACUAUUUUAAAUCAAACACAUGUAAAAAUGUAAAAAAGUUUUUUAAAAAUUAUCUGUACCCUUAAAGCAAUUCAUACCCACUCCAAAUAAACUGCCCCAGAGAUUAUAUCAGGAAAUAAAAGGCAUAGACUGGAAAUUGACCCCCUAUGGACCAUAUUAGACUCUACACACAGAUUUUCUUUGAAUGGAUUGAUUACAAAUCAAAAUCCUUAAUCCCUAAUAUUUGAAAAUCAGAAAAUUUUGCAUUAAAAUAAAGAGUUCCAGACUUUCUUGAAAAGUGUCAAAACCUGAAAGAAGGUGAGCUCAUACUAUGUGUUUUAUAGUCAUGAUUUUUAAAUGGCAAUACUCAUUCACUUGGCCCCUAUAGGUAUUUGAGUAUUAUUUCUAUAAAUUGCAAGUAGAAAAUUGCUUUAUUGGUUCAAAACAAUACUGAUAAUAUUUAUACUGAUUCAUCUAUUUAUAAAGAAGAGUUAAUAUCCCAGCUUUUAUAAAGCCAUGAUUUCCCUUAUUUGAUAGGUGAGUCAGUUGAAGCUCAGAGAUAUUAAGUCACUUACUCAAGGCUGCAGGGGUGCUUGACUUCUGGAUGCAAUUAAGAACCAAUCCCCUCAGUUUUGUCUGCAUUUUUUUUGUUUUUGUUUUUGUUAUUCACAAACAUAAUUUCAUUCUCCUGUGAUUUCAUUAUCCUCUUUGGCUUUGAGGAAGAGCCUUUCUCUGCCAAGUCUCAUCCUUGAGAGGGUCUCAAUCACACCCCUUCCAAAGUUUAGCUCUGAAGUUCAUAAACAUAAUUCUUAUUUAGUAAGUCUUUCCUGGUGCUUUUCUAAGGCUAUCUGCUUUAAAAACAUGGUCUCAUUUAAUCCUCGGGUGAUCCCCAUGAUGGAGGUGUUAUUUUCCCUACUUAGCAAUGAGGAAACUAAGUCACAAAUAAAUUUCAAAACUGAACAAAAGCUACAUAACUAGAAAGAGUAAGAAGCUGGAUCCACCUAUAUCCGUCUGCUUCUAAAGUCCAUGAUGUCAAUCACUACUUACAUUACUGGGCAAUACCAUAAUGACUGGGCUUCCAAAUGAAAAGCUAGAGACUGUUGGUCGGAAGAGCAGACAUUUAGAUUCUAGGUCCAUAGUAUUUUAUCUAUACUUCAACAAGGGACAUAGAGCUCAUCUUUCUGACAUCAAAGUUAAGGAAAUAUUUCCUCCUUUCCUACUGAGGUCAUAAAAAAAGCCAACCAAUAAGCAAUUUUCCAUACAAAUUUUAAGUGAUUAAUUCUUUUUUUUAUUUUUAUUUUUUAAUUUUUAUUGUUGGUUUUUCAAAACAUUACAUAGUUCUUGAUAUAUCAUAUUUCACACUUUGAUUCAAGUGGGUUAUGAGCUCCCAUUUUUACCCCAUAUACAGAUUGCAGAAUCACAUCAGUUACACAUCCAUUGAUUUACAUAUUGCCAUACUAGUGUCUGUUGUGUUCUGCUGCCUUUCCUAUCCUCUACUAUCCCCCCUCCCCUCCCCUCCCCUCUUCUCUCUCUGCCCCCUCUACUGACAUUCAUUUGUCCCCCUUGUAUUAUUUUUCCCUUUCCCCUCACUUCCUCUUGUAUGUAAUUUUGUAUAACCCUGAGGGUCUCCUUCCAUUUCCAUGCAAUUUCCCUUCUCUCUCCCUUUCCCUCCCACCUCUCAUCCCUGUUUAAUGUUAAUCUUCUUCUCAUGCUCUUCGACCCUACUCUGUUCUUAGUUACUCUCCUUAUAUCAAAGAAGACAUUUGGCAUUUGUUUUUUAGGGAUUGGCUAGCUUCACUUAGCAUAAUCUGCUCUAAUGCCAUCCAUUUCCCUGUAAAUUCUAUGAUUUUGUCAUUUUUUAAUGCAGAGUAAUACUCCAUUGUGUAUAAAUGCCACAUUUUUUUUAUCCAUUCAUCUAUUGAAGGGCAUCUAGGUUGGUUCCACAGUCUUGCUAUUGUGAACUGUGCUGCUAUGAACAUCGAUGUAGCAGUGUCCCUGUAGCAUGCUCUUUUUAGGUCUUUAGGGAAUAGACCAAGAAGGGGAAUAGCUGAGUCAAAUGGUGGCUCCAUUCCCAGCUUUCCAAGAAAUCUCCAUACUGCUUUCCAAAUUGGCUGCACCAAUUUGCAGUCCCACCAGCAAUGUACAAGUGUACCCUUUUCCCCACAUCCUCGCCAGCACUUGUUGUUGUUUGACUUCAUAAUGGCUGCCAAUCUUACUGGAGUGAGAUGGUAUCUUAGGGUGGUUUUGAUUUGCAUUUCUCUGACUGCUAGAGAUGGUGAGCAUUUUUUCAUGUACUUGUUGAUUGAUUGUAUGUCCUCCUCUGAGAAGUGUCUGUUCAGGUCCUUGGCCCAUUUGUUGAUUGGGUUAUUUGUUUUCUUAUUGUUUAAUUUUUUGAGUUCUUUGUAUACUCUGGAUAUUAGGGCUCUAUCUGAAGUGUGAGGAGUAAAGAUUUGUUCCCAGGAUGUAGGCUCUCUAUUUACCUCUCUUAUUGUUUCUUUUGCUGAGAAAAAACUUUUUAGUUUGAGUAAGUCCCAUUUGUUGAUUCUAGUUAUUAACUUUUGUGCUAUGGGUGUCCUAUUGAGGAAUUUGGAGCCCGACCCCACAGUAUGUAGAUCGUAGCCAACUUUUUCUUCUAUCAGACGGCGUGUCUCUGAUUUGAUAUCAAGCUCCUUGAUCCAUUUUGAAUUAACUUUUGUGCAUGGCGAGAGAAAGGGAUUCAGUUUCAUUUUGUUGCAUAUGGAUUUCCAGUUUUCCCAGCACCAUUUGUUGAAGAUGCUAUCCUUCCUCCAUUGCAUGCUUUUAGCCCCUUUAUCAAAUAUAAGAUAGUUGUAGUUUUGUGGAUUGGUUUCUGUGUCCUCUAUUCUGUACCAUUGGUCCACCC